rnacentral:rRNA from 1 species
CCUACGGGACGCACCAGUGGGGAAUAUUGCACAAUGGGCGCAAGCCUGAUGCAGCCAUGCCGCGUGUAUGAAGAAGGCCUUCGGGUUGUAAAGUACUUUCAGCGGGGAGGAAGGUGUUGUGGUUGAUAACCACAACAAUUGACGUUACCCGCAGAAGAAGCACCGGCUAACUCCGUGCCAGCAGCCGCGGUAAUACGGAGGGUGCAAGCGUUAAUCGGAAUUACUGGGCGUAAAGCGCACGCAGGCGGUCUGUCAAGUCGGAUGUGAAAUCCCCGGGCUCAACCUGGGAACUGCAUUCGAAACUGGCAGGCUAGAGUCUUGUAGAGGGGGGUAGAAUUCCAGGUGUAGCGGUGAAAUGCGUAGAGAUCUGGAGGAAUACCGGUGGCGAAGGCGGCCCCCUGGACAAAGACUGACGCUCAGGUGCGAAAGCGUGGGGAGCAAACAGGAUUAGAUACCCCUGUAGUC